rnacentral:rRNA from 1 species
UACAGAGGUCUCAAGCGUUGUUCGGAUUCAUUGGGCGUAAAGGGUGCGUAGGCGGCGGAGUAAGUCAGGUGUGAAAUCCCGGGGCUCAACCCUGGAACUGCACUUGAUACUGCUUUGCUAGAGUACUGGAGAGGAGACUGGAAUUUACGGUGUAGCAGUGAAAUGCGUAGAUAUCGUAAGGAAGACCAGUGGCGAAGGCGGGUCUCUGGACAGUUCCUGACACUGAGACACGAAGGCCAGGGGAGCAAACGGG